rnacentral:rRNA from 1 species
CGCCUUGCCAGCCCGCUCAGAAACGUAAAGGAAUUGACGGGGGCCCGCACAAGCGGUGGAGUAUGUGGUUUAAUUCGAUGCAACGCGAAGAACCUUACCUGGUCUUGACAUCCCGGAGACCCUUAGGAAACUAGGGGGUGCUUCCAUCUGGAAGAAUCUGGAGACAGGUGCUGCAUGGCUGUCGUCAGCUCGUGUCGUGAGAUGUUGGGUUAAGUCCCGCAACGAGCGCAACCCUUGCCUUUAGUUGCCAGCAGUUCGGCUGGGCACUCUAAAGGGACUGCCGGUGUUAAACCGGAGGAAGGUGGGGAUGACGUCAAGUCCUCAUGGCCUUUAUGACCAGGGCUACACACGUACUACAAUGGCCGAUACAAAGGGCAGCGACACUGCGAGGUGAAGCCAAUCCCGUAAAAUCGGUCUCAGUCCGGAUCGGAGUCUGCAACUCGACUCCAUGAAGUUGGAAUCGCUAGUAAUCGUGGAUCAGCAUGCCACGGUGAAUACGUUCCCGGGCCUU